AUGGGAGGACUAUUGCGUGAAAGAGGAGGGCUACGUCGUGAUUGGGAGCAUGUUUUGGAUGAUUCUAAAUGGUCAGUAACUAAAAUGCCCCUAGAGAUCAACUAUACAGUAUACUUAAGCUAUGAAUAUAUGCCUUCAUAUUUGAAGCAGUGCUUUCUAUACUACUCUCUUCUUCCUAAAAGUAAACCUUAUAAUAUGGAUCAAGUAGUAGCAAUGUGGAUGAGCGAAGGUUUUCUUCAUGGAAACUCCAGUGAUUUAGAAGAAUUGGGAAGAAAUUACUACAAGGAGUUGCUAUCCAGGAACCUUAUAGAGCCAGAUAAAUUGUAUGUUGCUCCAUGGAUUUCCAGCAUGCAUGAUAUUGUUCGCUCAUUUGCUCAUUACAUGACUAAGUAUGAAGCACUUAUAGCUCAAGAUGGAGAAAAUGAUAUUCUUACUAAACUUAGUUCACAAAAGUUUCUUCGGUUGACCAUAGAAACCAAUCAAUUGCAAUCAGAUGAAGUUGACUGGAAAUCUCUACAUGAGCAACAAUCGUUGAGAAAAUUAAUCUCAACUAUCCAGAUCAAGAUGAAACCUGGUGAUUCAUUUAUUAUGUUUUCUAGUCUGCGGACUCUACAUAUAGAAUUUGCUAAUGUGGUUUCACUGGUUGAAUCGUUGCAUCAACUCAAGCACCUGAGGUAUUUGAAGCUAGUAAAUACCAAUAUAUCUGUACUUCUAGGGGACAUUGGCAAGAUGAAACUAUUGCAAUUCCUUGACCUUCAUGGAUGUGAAAAUUUGGUGAAUCUUCCUGGUAGCAUUGUGAAACUUGGCCAGCUGAGGUUACUUGAGCUUCCCAGUUUAAGUGUGAUACCUAGAGGGUUCCGUACCGUAACAAAUAUGAGGAAACUAAAUUGGUUUCGAGCCCACAUGGAUGGUGAAUGGUGCGGUUUGGAUGAGUUAGAGUCUCUUUCCCAACUCAGGUUCCUUACUUUAUAUGAAUUGGAGAACGUAUCUGCUGCCCCAUGUGCUGCUAAUGCUAGGCUUGGUGAUAAAAAGCAUCUUAUCAGAUUGUCUUUAUUCUGCACCAGCAGACUGGAAAAUGAUGGGUUGAUAAAAGAGAAAGAAGGUGUCCCUGAGGAAGAGCAGCGGCGAAUCAAGAAGGUGUUCAAUGAGCUCUCCCCUCCACACAGUAUAGAUAAUAUUAUAAUUGGUGGUUAUUUUGGCAAGCAACUCCCAACUUGGAUGAUGUCUGCGUCCAUGGUGCCCCUCAAUAACUUGACAUACAUUAUGUUUGUUGACUUGGCUUGCUGCACACAACUUCCCGAUGGGUUGUGUCAGCUCCCGAACCUGCAGUUCUUUAAGGUAGACCGUGCUCCAUGCAUCAGGCGUGUUGAGGCUGAAUUCUUGCAGGCGGCGGCAACUCCAUUUCCAAGGUUAAAUGAGAUGUACUUACUAGGAAUGGUGCAAUGGGAAGAGUGGGAGUGGGAGGAGCAAGUACAAGCCAUGCCUAGGUUGGAGAAGCUUAUGCUCAGGAAAUGCAAACUGAGGCAUAUUCCUACAGGCGUUGCCACCAAUGCAAGGGCUUUGAAGGAAUUAUUCCUACAAGACAUUCAACACCUCAACUACCUUGAGAGCUUUUCUUCUGUUGUUGAGCUUACAAUGCUUCGAAUCCCCGACAUGGAGAGGAUCACUAAUCUCCCCAAUCUGCAGAAGCUCACGAUCACCGAUUGCCCAAAGCUGAAGGUGCUAGAAAGUAUCCCCGCACUUGAGAGGCUGAUCCUGCAGGAUUAUGUCAUGGAAGAACUCCCCAAAUACAUGCGGGAUAUAAAAUCCAAGGCAUUUGCAGCUAUUUUGCAGGAUAUGGCUGCUAUCUUCGUUAGCCACGGGACAAUCUGGUCCUGA
rnacentral:rRNA from 1 species